GAGUUUGAUCGUGGCUCAGAGUGAACGCUGGCGGUAGGCCUAACACAUGCAAGUCGAACGGCAGCACAGUAAGAGCUUGCUCUUACGGGUGGCGAGUGGCGGACGGGUGAGGAAUACAUCGGAAUCUACUUUUUCGUGGGGGAUAACGUAGGGAAACUUACGCUAAUACCGCAUACGACCUACGGUGAAAGCAGGGGAUCUUCGGACCUUGCGCGAUUGAAUGAGCCGAUGUCGGAUUAGCUAGUUGGCGGGGUAAAGGCCCACCAAGGCGACGAUCCGUAGCUGGUCUGAGAGGAUGAUCAGCCACACUGGAACUGAGACACGGUCCAGACUCCUACGGGAGGCAGCAGUGGGGAAUAUUGGACAAUGGGCGCAAGCCUGAUCCAGCCAUACCGCGUGGUGAAGAAGGCCUCGGUUGUAAGCC
rnacentral:rRNA from 1 species